rnacentral:rRNA from 1 species
GACGAACGCUGGCGGCGUGCCUAAUACAUGCAAGUCGAGCGGAUCUUAGAAGCUUGCUUCUAAAGAUUAGCGGCGGACGGGUGAGUAACACGUGGGCAACCUGCCUGUAAGACUGGGAUAACUUCGGGAAACCGAGGCUAAUACCGGAUAAUCCUUUUUCUCACAUGAGGGAAAGCUGAAAGACGGCGCAAGCUGUCACUUACAGAUGGGCCCGCGGCGCAUUAGCUAGUUGGUGAGGUAACGGCUCACCAAGGCGACGACGCGUAGCCGACCUGAGAGGGUGAUCGGCCACACUGGGACUGGGACACGGCCCAGACUCCUACGGGAGGCAGCAGUAGGGAAUCUUCCGCAAUGGACGAAAGUCUGACGGAGCAACGCCGCGUGAGUGAUGAAGGCUUUCGGGUCGUAAAACUCUGUUGUUAGGGAAGAACAAGUAUCGGAGUAACUGCCGGUACC